rnacentral:rRNA from 1 species
AAUACGUUCCCGGGCCUUGUACACACCGCCCGUCACAUCACGAAAGUGGGUUGUACUAGAAGUCCUCUCGAAAGGCCCAAGGUAUGACUCAUGAUUGGGGUG